CCUACGGGAGGCAGCAGUGGGGAAUUUUGCGCAAUGGGGGCAACCCUGACGCAGCAACGCCGCGUGAGUGAUGAAGGCCUUCGGGUCGUAAAGCUCUGUCAGAGGGGAAGAAAUGCAGGUGGUGAACAACCAUUCUGUUUGACGGUACCCUCAAAGGAAGCACCGGCUAACUCCGUGCCAGCAGCCGCGGUAAUACGGAGGGUGCGAGCGUUGUUCGGAAUUAUUGGGCGUAAAGCGCGUGUAGGCGGUUUGUUAAGUCGGAGGUGAAAGCCCCGGGCUCAACCGGGGAAGGGCAUUGGAUACUGGCAGACUGGAGUACGGGAGAGGAGAGUGAAAUUCCCGGUGUAGCGGUGAAAUGCGUAGAGAUCGGGAGGAACACCAGUGGCGAAGGCGGCGUCCUGGCCGACACCUGACGCUGAAGCGCGAAAGCGUGGGGAGCGAACGGGAUUAGAUACCCCUGUAGU
rnacentral:rRNA from 1 species